rnacentral:rRNA from 1 species
AUUGAACGCUGGCGGCAUGCCUUACACAUGCAAGUCGAACGGCAGCAUGAUCUAGCUUGCUAGAUUGAUGGCGAGUGGCGAACGGGUGAGUAAUACAUCGGAACGUGCCCUGUAGUGGGGGAUAACUAGUCGAAAGAUUAGCUAAUACCGCAUACGACCUGAGGGUGAAAGUGGGGGACCGCAAGGCCUCAUGCUAUAGGAGCGGCCGAUGUCUGAUUAGCUAGUUGGUGAGGUAAAGGCUCACCAAGGCGACGAUCAGUAGCUGGUCUGAGAGGACGAUCAGCCACACUGGGACUGAGACACGGCCCAGACUCCUACGGGAGGCAGCAGUGGGGAAUUUUGGACAAUGGGCGAAAGCCUGAUCCAGCAAUGCCGCGUGUGUGAAGAAGGCCUUCGGGUUGUAAAGCACUUUUGUCCGGAAAGAAAUGGCUCUGGUUAAUACCUGGGGUCGAUGACGGUACCGGAAGAAUAAGGACCGGCUAACUACGUGCCAGCAGCCGCGGUAAUACGUAGGGUCCAAGCGUUAAUCGGAAUUACUGGGCGUAAAGCGUGCGCAGGCGGUUGUGCAAGACCGAUGUGAAAUCCCCGAGCUUAACUUGGGAAUUGCAUUGGUGACUGCACGGCUAGAGUGUGUCAGAGGGGGGUAGAAUUCCACGUGUAGCAGUGAAAUGCGUAGAGAUGUGGAGGAAUACCGAUGGCGAAGGC